AGGAAACCUUCUCUAGCAGAAGGCGCUGUCUGGCACCUUCUUCCUCUUCUAGCUGCUCCUCCAGGUCCUAGAAGGAGAAAAAGAGCCCCAGUAACCCCUGUUUUUAAUUCAAGACGCACUCAGAAGAAUACAUUCGGCUCUCCAGCUCAGUGAGCACAUCUUCUAGCUCCUGCUUGCGACUGGCCAGUCUGGACCGCAUCUCUUCGGCUUCUGCAAAGAGCUCUGCUUCGGCUUGCAGUUGGUCAGCCAACACUGCCUUCUCUUCUACCAGCUAGUAGAUGAAGAAGAGGGGAGAUAGUGACCUGAGUCGGUGAAUUCCUGCUCCAUUCGGGUAAGUCUUUCUUUGACCUUCACCAACUCUGACUCUCUGAUUUGGAUCUCCUCAUCUUGCCGGGUCACCUGUAGCAGCGGCUUCACCUGCCAAGUACACAUCAAGAGUCAGG